AUUACGUCCCUGCCCUUUGUACACACCGCCCGUCKCUACUACCGAUUGAAUGGCUUAWUGAGGCCUUCGGAUUGAAAUUCGGAGACUGGCAACAGACUCUUGGUUUUGAAGAGUUGGACAAACUUGGUCAUUUAGAGGAAGUAAAAGUCNUAACAAGGUUUCCGUAGGUGAACCUGCGGAAGGAUCAUU
rnacentral:rRNA from 1 species